AAAUGCGAUAAGUAAUGUGAAUUGCAGAAUUCAGUGAAUCAUCGAAUCUUUGAACGCACAUUGCGCCCGCCAGUAUUCUGGCGGGCAUGCCUGUCCGAGCGUCAUUUCAACCAUCAAGCCCCCGGGCUUGUGUUGGGGACCUGCGACUGCCCGCAGGCCCUGAAAACCAGUGGCGGGCUCGCUGUCACACCGAGCGUAGUAGCAAUCACCUCGCUCAGGGCGUGCUGCGGGUUCCGGCCGUUAAACAGCCUUACAAAACCCAAGGUUGACCUCGGAUCAGGUAGGAAGACCCGCUGAACUUAAGC
rnacentral:misc_RNA from 1 species